rnacentral:rRNA from 1 species
GACGAACGCUGGCGGCGUGCUUAACACAUGCAAGUCGAACGAUGAAGCCGGAGCUUGCUCCGGUGGAUUAGUGGCGAACGGGUGAGUAACACGUGAGCAAUCUGCCCUUGACUCUGGGAUAACUGCGGGAAACUGUAGCUAAUACCGGAUACGACACCUUGGGGCAUCCCAGGGGGUGGAAAGAAUUUCGGUCAAGGAUGAGCGCGCGGCCUAUCAGCUAGUUGGUGAGGGAAUGGCUCACCAAGGGAACGACGGGUAGCCGGCCUGAGAGGGUGACCGGCCACACUGGAACUGAGACACGGUCCAGACUCCUACUGGAGGCAGCAGUGGGGAAUAUUGCACACUGGGCGAAAGCCUGAUGCAGCAACGCCGCGUGAGGGAUGAAGGCCUUCGGGUUGUAAACCUCUUUUAGCAGGGAAGAAGCGAAAGUGACGGUACCUGCAGAAAAAGCACCGGCUAACUACGUGCCAGCCGCCGCGGUAA